GCACCAUCUAAUCAGCUGCAAUCUCAGAUAGAAUACAGCAGACUGAAGAAUGUGGAAGGACUUGACUUCCUGAGUCUGCCAGCCUUCAUCUCCCUCUCGUGCUGGAUAGUUCCUGCCUGCGAACAUCAGACUCCCAAGUUCUUCAGCUUUAGGACUCCUGGACUUACGCAAGUGGUUUAACAGGGGCUCUUGGGUUUUUGGCCACAGACUGAAGGCUGCACUGUUGGCUUCCUUGCUUUUGAGGUCUUGAGACUCAGGCUGGCUUCCUGGCUCCUCAGCUUGCAGACAGCCUAUUGUGGGACUUCACCUUGUGAUCAUAAAUGGGAUCUCAUUCUGCCACCCAGUCUGGCUUGCAGUGAUGCAAUCAUAGCUCACUGCAGCCUCAAACUCAUGGGUUCAAGUGAUCCUCCUGCCUCAGCCUCCUGAGUAGCUGGGAUUAAAAGCACGUGUCACCACCCCCAGCUUGAUCCUAUAAUUUCUAUUUAGGAGAAAGCACUUAGAAUCAAAACUUAAGUAAGUGUUUAAAAAACAACUGUGAAUGCUUUUAAACAUGCUACAUAAAGGCCAUUCAUUUAGAAGCUCAUGGAUUUUUAUAAAAGUUUGAAGCAUGGUCUUAACUGCCACAGCUCCCACCAUCAGGUGUGCUGAGAUACCCGACCAAGAGGCUCAGGAGAAGCCAGAAUAGAUAUAUAUCAGGACUUAGCUAAGGGAACCUGAGCAAAAAAGGGGCUUUAUCAUGAAGGAUUAAUUCUCAAAGUAAACCUCCAACAUCCCAUGCCAUGGUCCAUGACUAUGGAAUCCAAUAGCAGAGCUGGUUGAGUCCAGCACUUGUGGGGCAUCUCAGAUCCAGGGUAGCAUCCCAGAGGGUUGUGUGCAGAGAUCUCAACAUAGGGGAUCUUCAAAAGGACAUCAGCCUGAGAAAGAGGGUAAAAACACUCUGCCUGACUGCUUUGCCCAGGGCCCCAGCAAGACAGGAUUUAGAGGUACACUGCUGUGGAGGGGUCGAUAAAUCAAAGAUUGCUAAAUUUUGCCAACAUACAGAAAUGAGUGAGGUUUUCUAGAGGGUCUGGCCACAAAGCAAGCAUGUCAAAUUUUGUGGUGACAGAUGCUGGGCUUUCAGGAGUUGAAGAUGGUGAAGCUUGUACUCUCACAGAAACCCAAGAGAGUGUGAACAUUAUUUGUUAUUUUCUAGGCUUUACCAUACAUGGAAAUAAGCCAUCAUCUAUGCACACAUAUUUCAGUAUCUGCUACCCCAUACCAUACCCAUACUUUUUCAUUACUGCGGGAAUAUGAAUUUUGUCUUGUAUCUCACUAUUCUUUGCUGUACUUGAUGAAUGAUAAAUUUGUCAAUAAAUACUUGUUGAGUAAAUUUAUGAA
rnacentral:lncRNA from 1 species